GACUUCUUCAGGUAAAUGAUCUGGAGUGUGUUUGCAUAUUGAUCAGAUGCUUCAGUGCUCUGAGAGUGUUUAUAGUGCUGUGAGUUUAACACUUCAUCACUGACACACACAACAAUCUUCAUCAACAUGACCUUCAUCAUCAUCUGGACGCUCUUAUACUGCUUUAUACUACAAGGCUGUAGAGCUCAGAUCACAGUGACUCAGACUGCAGUGAAAACUGUUAAACCAGGAGAAACUGUUGAGAUGAGCUGUAAACUCAGUAGAGCUGCUACAGACUGCAGCCCGAAUCCCUGUGUGGCCUGGUACUUACAGAAACCUGGAGAAGCUCCUAAACUCCUGAUUUAUAGAACAAGCAGCCUCCACACAGGAACUCCAUCUAGAUUCAGUGGCAGUGGAUCUAACAGUGAUUUCACUCUGACCAUCAGUGGAGUCCAGACUGAAGAUGCUGGACAUUAUUACUGUCAGAGUUAUCACUAUAUCAACAGUAAAUGGGUGUUCACACAGUGAUAAAGAGUCGUACAAAAACCUCAGUCAGUCAGAG